rnacentral:rRNA from 1 species
AGAGUUUGAUCAUGGCUCAGAGUGAACGCUGGCGGCGUGCCUAACACAUGCAAGUCGAACGAGAACGGGUAUUAGCUUGCUAAUACUGUCAGCUAAGUGGCGCACGGGUGAGUAAUAUAUAGUUAACCUGCCCCAAAGAAGAGAAUAAUUGUUGGAAACGACUUGUAAUGCUCUAUAUGCCUUUAUUACAUAAGUAAGCAAGGGAAAUAUUUAUAGCUUUGGGAUGGGACUGUACGGUAUCAGAUAGUUGGUGAGGUAAUGGCUCACCAAGUCUAUGACGCCUAACUGGUUUGAGAGGAUGAUCAGUCACACUGGAACUGAGACACGGUCCAGACUCCUACGGGAGGCAGCAGUGGGGAAUAUUGCACAAUGGAGGAAACUCUGAUGCAGCAACGCCGCGUGGAGGAUGACACAUUUCGGUGCGUAAACUCCUUUUAUAUGAGAAGAUAAUGACGGUAUCAUAUGAAUAAGCACCGGCUAACUCCGUGCCAGCAGCCGCGGUAAUACGGGGGGUGCAAGCGUUACUCGGAAUCACUGGGCGUAAAGAGCAUGUAGGCUGGUUUGUAAGUUGGAAGUGAAAUCCUAUGGCUUAACCAUAGAACUGCUUCCAAAACUGCAGACCUAGAAUAUGGGAGAGGUAGAUGGAAUUUCUGGUGUAGGGGUAAAAUCCGUAGAGAUCAGAAGGAAUACCGAUUGCGAAGGCGAUCUACUGGAACAUUAUUGACGCUGAGAUGCGAAAGCGUGGGGAGCAAACAGGAUUAGAUACCCUGGUAGUCCACGCCCUAAACGAUGCACACUAGUUGUUGCUAUGCUAGACAUAGCAGUAAUGCGGUUAACACAGUAAGU